rnacentral:rRNA from 1 species
AGCAGUAGCCGCGGUAAAACAGAGGGUGCGAGCGUUAAUCGGAUUUACUGGGCGUAAAGCGUGCGUAGGCGGCUUCUUAAGUCGGAUGUGAAAUCCCUGAGCUUAACUUAGGAAUUGCAUUCGAUACUGGGAAGCUAGAGUAUGGGAGAGGAUGGUAGAAUUCCAGGUGUAGCGGUGAAAUGCGUAGAGAUCUGGAGGAAUACCGAUGGCGAAGGCAGCCAUCUGGCCUAAUACUGACGCUGAGGUACGAAAGCAUAAGGAGCAAACAGGAUUAGAUACCCGCGUAGUCCCUGUCUCUUAUAC